GCGAGGCCCUGGCUCUCUUCCAACCUUGGAGUGAGACAUUGGGGGAAGGGCCUCUUCCUUGUGGGGGUCUCAGUUUCUCCCUCUGUGAAAUGGGCAGGUUUGAUUGGAGCUGGAGAAUCUCUUCCAAGUGCCAGGGUCAUGCAGUCCUGUGGAGCCUUAGCAGGGAGGGAUGAAGGGUGAGAUCGUGGCCUCGGCGGUGAUGGGAGGGGUGGCUGUGGCAGGAGGCUGAGUCAGAGGCACUGUCAGGGCUGAGAGCAAGGGAACAGACCUGCCUCUAGUGCCCAGUGACUUGCAAGCCACAGGAGGGGAGCAGCCUGUGUCAUCAGCGAGCCUGUAAACACCCUCCAAGGACAGCAAGGCCCCUGCUUGUCUUGGAUCCGACCACAGGCCCAUCCCAGGGAUUUGGGGCCAGAGACCGGUGAAUUUCUCGAACACGCAAUUCUCUUCCUGCCUCUCCAGGACUGUGCACAGGCUGUUCCCUCCACCUGGAAUGUUCUCUCCCUUUCUCCAGGCUUCACCAAGAUAAUGCUUCCGGCUGGUUCAAAUUUCGGCUCAAGGAUCACCUCCUUCUCUGUUCUUCCAGCAAAGGCAGACGAGAAGGCUGGCGCUGUGGCCUCCACCUUGGAUCAUGAGGAGGGUCACACCCUAAGGACGGCAGAGUUGUGACCAGGAAGGAGCCUGGGACAGCUUUGUGGAGUCUUCAAACCAGCCCUGAACUGCCUACAUCUGGACUUCAUUCACACGAGAGAAAA